GACGAACGCUGGCGGCGUGCUUAACACAUGCAAGUCGAACGGAAAGGCCCUGCUUGUGUGUGGUGCUCGAGUGGCGAACGGGUGAGUAACACGUGAGUAACCUGCCCUUGACUUUGGGAUAACUUCAGGAAACUGGGGCUAAUACGGGAUAGGAGGUUGUGCGCCAGGGAGGGGGUUGGAAAGUUUCGGCGGUUGGGGUUGGACUGGCGGCUGAUCGGCUUGUUGGUGGGGUAGGGGCUGACCAAGGCUUGGAAGGGUAGCCGGCAUGGGAGGGUGACCGGCCACAUGGGGACUGAGAUACGGAGCAGACUCCAACGGGAGGCAGCAGUGGGGAAUCUUGCACAACGAGCGGGCGCCUGAUGCAACAGCGCCGCGUGCGUGAUGACGGCCUUCGAGUUGUAAACCGCUUUCGCCUGUGACGAAGCGUGAGUGACGGUAAUGGGUAAAGAAGCACCGGCUAACUACGUG
rnacentral:rRNA from 1 species